rnacentral:rRNA from 1 species
ACUCCUACGGGAGGCAGCAGUGGGGAAUAUUGCACAAUGGGCGCAAGCCUGAUGCAGCCAUGCCGCGUGUGUGAAGAAGGCCUUCGGUUGUAAAGCACUUUCAGUCGUGAGGAAGGUGGUAGUGUUAAUAGCACUAUCAUUUGACGUUAGCGACAGAAGAAGCACCGGCUAACUCCGUGCCAGCAGCCGCGGUAAUACGGAGGGGUGCGAGCGUUAAUCGGAAUUACUGGGCGUAAAGCGCAUGCAGGUGGUUUGUUAAGUCAGAUGUGAAAGCCCGGGGCUCAACCUCGGAAUUGCAUUUGAAACUGGCAGACUAGAGUACUGUAGAGGGGGUAGAAUUUCAGGUGUAGCGGUGAAAUGCGUAGAGAUCUGAAGGAAUACCGGUGGCGAAGGCGGCCCCCCUGGACACGAUACUGACACUCAGAUGCGAAAGGCGUGGGGAGCGAAACAGGAUUAGAUACCCUGGUAGGCUCU